GUUGGGAUCUGUCCCCAGGAAGGCCUGUUACUAGAAAAGGAGGGAUAAUUAGGGAGUGGCCACCAAAGGGAGACCGUGAACCGCCCCUGGUUGGCUUCUUGGGCGGGGUGGGGAGGGACUUUUUUUCCGGUGUCAGUGGAGGAAUCGUCCCGUUGAGUAGUGUCUUGUGACGCGACCCGGGACUAUAAAAGCAAAAGUUGUGGCCCAUCCAGCAGGAGUUAGCGACAGGCAGGGCUGGCGCCUGGGUGUAGUGGUGGGGCGGAAGUGACCAGUUCAGGGUCUCAGGGGACACAGGCAGGAGAUGGCAGAGCUAGAGGGGGUGGGGGUGCGUGGGGAAGGAGGGCUGAAAAGGAGCUUAGAUGUGGGGGGCUCUGCAGCGCGAAGGCCCACAGCACCCCGCGAGGCCGCAGCAGCUCUCGGGCCUCGCUGUCCCUUCCUCUACUGCUGCUGGAGCGGGGAUUUGACUUCCAGGAGGCCGAGGUCCUUCCAUGGGCCUAGCUGGCCCUGGUGGCCUGGUUAACGUGGAGGAGGAAGGCAGGCUGAGGCGGGAAGAGGUGGAGACUGGCCUAGGCAGUGGUCGUUGGCAGGCAGGGUCGCAGGCCCGCAGCUGGGCGGGGAGGGCCGACUUUGAAACUUGUCAAUACCAGCAGCCCCGUUUUUUUCCAGACAAAGGGUUGUGAACCUGCCUGGGGAUGAAGCCUGGUCUUAAGGAAACUGGACUUGGCUUCGCGGGCCUGACAGCUCUGGCCCAGGGUGGUGGCAGUACCCUCCCCUCUGGACUUCCCUAGGUUCGAUGCUAAACUCUUCUGUGAGCUCACUCUACCCCUCCUCCUCCCUCUAACUCUCUUGAGGUUAUCCCUUCACUUAAAACCUUGCCUCUGGUCAUCUGGUAAGCCUGGUGAAGUCGCAGGAGUGUUCUUGGACUCGGUAUUGUUGGUAAUGGUGCAGAAGGAAAGGCCUUCCCGGUGGAGCCUCUGGGGGGUGGGUUGGUGUUGCUUUUGGAGAGGGUGGGGAUUGAAUGUGCUCCCCUGGGUGGGGCUGCAGCAGUGGUUCCAGCAGAAGUCACCCAAUGCCUCAUGGACCUGGUUUGUUACUGUAGUGUUCAUCAUGGCGAGCAGAUGGCACCAGGACAAAUGGAGCCCCAGCCAGUGUGAGUCGUAGCAGUGCAGGAGGGGAGACCCUGAAGGAGACAGCCCGCUUAAGUUGAUGCCUGCAGAUUGAAUUCCAGAGGCUUAGGAGGAGGAGCAGUUCUCCAGUGUCUUGUGUCCAGGCCUUGCUCGGGAUCCCUGUAUUCAGGAGGCCAACCGUUAAGGUUUUCAGAUGAGCUUGUGGGGGGCAGUUCACAAGUCCAAAGCAGAUGCAUCGGCUUGAGGGGCCAUCACCUUUGAAUGUUUCAGCAGCACCAUCCUCCAGGCACAGGAAUGCCAGCAGGCACCCCUCUUGUCCUGGGGGUGGUUUUCAGAUGCUGCAUCUUCUAAAUUGAGCCUCUGGUCCUUCUAGUUCUGUGCUGUGAACUUUGCUUCCAGAAGAUUCUUAAGUUAUAGAACAUUUUAAAGUUGAUCCAACAACCAGCCUGAUGCCUUUUAGAUGGCACUUGGAGAUGGAGCCCAGGGACCUCUCACCUACCCACCUGCUUACCUGCCUUCCUGUCUGCACAUUGGCCGGAGGAAUUCUUAGUGUGAUGAUAAAGCUUUUGAUUGUUGGGCGGGGCAGGGAGCUGUUCAAUUUUAAAUGCUUUAGGCAGAGGGAAUUUGUUAGCUAGGUAGAUUGUCAAUCUGUGGGGGCUCAUGUGUUGAGCUAAAGUGGGAGGGGACAAGCCGGUCAUGCCCAGGAGCUGUGUGUUGGUGGGGGGGUCUUGUCUGGGCAUUCUAAUGGCAUAGAACCUUACAAGAAGGGAAUGGUGGGCCCACCAGUAGUGGGUGGGUCAUGGGUGUUUUGUUUUCUGGUGCUGCAGAUUGAACAGGGCCUUGGGCAUUUUAGGCAAAUGCUCAGCCAUUGAGCUACAACCCCAGCCCAGUUAUUUGAUUCUCCUCCCCACUUUUUUUUUAUACAUCUCAGAGUAUUCUUGUCAUUCCCACUGGGGGCUCUGGGGGAGGGACAGGGGGGCAAGGGCUGGUGGGGAUGCAGUGCUGGGAGCAUGAGGGUGUGGGAUGUGGGUUGAGAGAAAGUAUGGGCAGAGAUCUGAGGAAUUUCAUAGAAUUUGUGAGUGAAGAAAACACUAGUUAAUGGUAAAUUAUUGGUUAAAUGGUUGCAUAUAAGCAGUGAAAGUUGCUUGGAAAUUUUUAUAAAAGUGCUUAGAACUUCAAGGAAAGUUCAAGAAAAAAAGCAAAAUUGUUUUGCUUUGCUCUAAAGUGGGGAAGACUGAGAAGGUAUAACUGAAAACAAGAAUAUUUAGUUACUUGAAAAAUGACAUGGAACUUGGUGUCAAAACUAUGAGUUUUAAACUCAAGUAUGCACUUAAGAUGAGAUUAAUAUGGACUUUUCUGGGUUUGUAAUUCAUAUUUUGUCAUGGAGAUCUCAGUGAUUCAAAAUUCUGAACAAAAUGGAAAUGCUUUUGGAGAGGGUGGGGAUUGAAUGUGCUCCCCUGGGUGGGGCUGCAGCAGUGGUUCCAGAAGAAGUCACCCAAUGCCUCAUUGACGUGAAUUGUUACUGUAGUGAGACAAAUGGAAAUGCUUUUGGAGAGGGUGGAGAUUAAAUGAUUUUUAAAGGAA